AAUCAAUCACUUUGUCUCUGCACAAUGAACAUUAUCAAAUAUUAUUAAUGUUGUAAAAUAUAUUGUUCAUUGUUAGUUCAUAUUAGCUAAGGCAUUACCAAAUGUUAAGGAAUAAACUCUUAUAGUAAAGUGUUACUAAAUUUUCUUUUACCAUUUCCUUCACAAUGUCUAUUUAUUUCUAUGGCUAACAGAUUUUGUAACAUUUGUCUUUUUUACAGUCUUACCAUUGCUUGUAAGCUGGAUUGGGUAAGAUGGAUCAUCUUUAAAGGCACCAGGAGUUAAGGCAGAUGUGGAGGCACAACGGGUGAUACCAGACACACACCAAGCACAUUAUGUUCGGACAUUCAAUCAUGACAGGAUCCAGGUGGAUGCUGUCCAUUGAUGAAAGAGUUUGUUCAGCGGUUUCUGGAUAGAAUUAAUUCCAAAGAUGGGAAAAAGUGCACAUCCAGACAAGGAGCAAGCAAAAAGACAAGGAACUUGGUGCAGAGAAAAGCUGUGGCCAUUAACCCCCAUGUGAACAGCUUCAUGCAGUCCCUGAUUGAGUUCGAAUGGACGACUUCAAAGUAAAGGCCACUGUGGUCUGUCUGCCACAGUUUAAUGCAUUUAUUUUUAGUGUUAAAUGAAAUUUAAGUAGAAUAUUUAAAACUAUGGGCCAGUGUUCUUUUUACCACAGUGAAAUGUUACCUUUUAGUCGAUGAUGGACUUUAAACUGAAAACUUCAAACUAUGGAACAGUGUUCUAUUUGCCAGAGUUAAAUAUGUUACAGCAGGGGUCUCCAAACUUGUUUAUACUUGUUGAUUUUAUUUUAUGUUACUUGAUUAUAUGUUUAUUAUUGUUUAAAAUCUUGUUUUAAAUAUGUUUGUUUCAAUUAAAUGUUUUUUUAAAUAAAAUUUUGAUACAUA